GCCUGGAUAGCUCAGUUGGUUAGAGUGUGGUGCUGGUAACACCAAGGUUGCAAGUUCAAUCCACGUAUUUCCUGCAUCGCAGGGG